AAAACAUAGCCUAAGGGAUCAUUCAUAAAGUAUGUGUACUGGGGGGGUAUGAGACGAAUUACGACAUUUGUGGGGGGGGGGUACGAAAUAAAAAAUGAGUGGCAUACUAUGUCUAUGAUUAAUGAAACUACAGGCUUUUAUAAUACAAUAUGCUUUCAAAAAAUCGAGUGUAUAUGUUCCUAAAUGUUCUUGGCCGUAAAUUGCAAUGUAGCACAGUAGUAUUUAUGAAAGUGUCUCGAUCGGAACAUAUUAGUUUGACAUUUCUGUAACCUGAACGGUACUUGAUUACGUUAUUUUACCGUCGGGUGGCUUCCCUGCACGUUUACUUUUAGAAUGAUUUAAAUAUUGAGAAAGAUAUGAAAUGCGUCACGACGUUCUGUUGAUAUAACCAAAGUCUACAAAUAUGUGAGAUCCUAAC